CGGGGUGAUGCUCUUUUAUAUAUUGAUCAUCCAUUGAAUUAGUGGGUUACAGGCGAUGGUCUUUUGCAACUAGCUAGUAGGGCUCAAGGAAGCUUGAGAACUUUGAGUAAACACCGUGUGUGUGGGAAUCCACAUGCUAUCAUCAGAAAGUAUGGACUGAUGUGUCGCAGGCAGUGUUUCCAUAGCAAUGCCAAGGAAAUCGGUUUCAUCAAGGUGAGCUGUCUACAAGAAAUUGAGAUUUUUUGGUAAAUUUGAUCAUACACUUGGUUAGAUGAGUUUCUGUGGCAAUUCCAUAAUAUAUGUAACAUUUCAGAGGUUGUGUUUUCUGAAAAUAAAGUUCUGAAUUGGUUUUUU